UACAGAGGUCUCGAGCGUUGUUCGGAUUCAUUGGGCGUAAAGGGUGCGUAGGCGGCGGGGUAAGUCUGAUGUGAAAUCCCGGGGCUCAACCCCUGGAACUGCAUUGGAUACUGCCUUGCUAGAGAGCUGGAGAGGAAACUGGAAUUUACGGUGUAGCAGUGAAAUGCGUAGAGAUCUAAGGAAGACCAGUGGCGAAGGCGAGUUUCUGGACAG
rnacentral:rRNA from 1 species